rnacentral:rRNA from 1 species
GACGAACGCUGGCGGCGUGCUUAACACAUGCAAGUCGAACGGAAAGGCCCUGCUAUUGUGGGGUGCUCGAGUGGCGAACGGGUGAGUAACACGUGAGUAACCUGCCCUUCAUUUUGGGAUAACUUCAGGAAACUAGGGCUAAUACCGGAUAGGAGCUCCUGCUCCAGGGUGGGGGUUGGAAAGUGUCGGCGGGUGGGGAUGGACUCGCGGCUGAUCAGCUUGUUGGUGGGGUAGUGGCUUACCAAGGAUUUGACGGGUAGCCGGCCUGAGAGGGUGACCGGCCACAUAGGCACUGAGAUGCGGCCCAGACUCCUACGGGAGGCAGCGGUGGGGAAUAUUGCACAAUGGGCGGAAGCCUGAUGCAGCAACGCCGCGUGCGGGAUGACGGCCUUCGGGUUGUAAACCGCUUUCGCCUGUGACGAAGCGUGAGUGACGGUAAUGGGUAAAGAAGCACCGGCUAACUACGU